AUUGUGGUGCUUGAUGCUCCUUGCAGUGAAUUGAUAUAACUAGUGCUUCUCAUAACUGAUUCUGUCUCUGCUUGCAUGACUAGUAAAUAACUGCCUUCCUAAAACCUUUUUUUUUUUCCCCACCAGAACUUACCAACAAGCUAAGAGAAUAUGAAGAUGUGAAUUUGUGAAAGGAGUAGUUCUCUCAUAGCCACAUAUAUUGUUACAGCCUCAUCAUUUGGGCCAUUUGAGUGUAGUAAUGAUCAGUAUUUAGAAAUAGCAUGAGAGGGAAGUAAACCAGGAAAGAUAAAACUCCUUAAUGUUUGUGUAUGAGAUGUUUCCAAAAAUGCUAAAUAAAUAUAGUUGCCAAGG
rnacentral:lncRNA from 1 species